rnacentral:rRNA from 1 species
GAUGAACGCUGGCGGCGUGCCUAAUACAUGCAAGUCGAGCGAACAGACGAGGAGCUUGCUCCUCUGACGUUAGCGGCGGACGGGUGAGUAACACGUGGAUAACCUACCUAUAAGACUGGGAUAACUUCGGGAAACCGGAGCUAAUACCGGAUAAUAUUUUGAACCGCAUGGUUCAAAAGUGAAAGACGGUCUUGCUGUCACUUAUAGAUGGAUCCGCGCUGCAUUAGCUAGUUGGUAAGGUAACGGCUUACCAAGGCGACGAUGCGUAGCCGACCUGAGAGGGUGAUCGGCCACACUGGAACUGAGACACGGUCCAGACUCCUACGGGAGGCAGCAGUAGGGAAUCUUCCGCAAUGGGCGAAAGCCUGACGGAGCAACGCCGCGUGAGUGAUGAAGGUCUUCGGAUCGUAAAACUCUGUUAUUAGGGAAGAACAUAUGUGUAAGUAACUGUGCACAUCUUGACGGUACCUAAUCAGAAAGCCACGGCUAACUACGUG